rnacentral:rRNA from 1 species
UACGAAGGGGGCUAGCGUUGUUCGGAAUUACUGGGCGUAAAGGGCGCGUAGGCGGUGUGUCAAGUCAGGCGUGAAAGCCCCGGGCUCAACCUGGGAACAGCGCUUGAGACUGGCACGCUCGAGUUCGGGAGAGGAUGGCGGAAUUCCCAGUGUAGAGGUGAAAUUCGUAGAUAUUGGGAAGAACACCGGUGGCGAAGGCGGCCAUCUGGACCGGAACUGACGCUGAGGCGCGAAAGCGUGGGGAGCAAACAGG